GUCCUAGCUGUAAACGGUGCACGUUUGCUGUAAAAGGAAUCGACCCCUUUUGUGGCGAAGCUAACGCGUUAAACGUGCCGCCUGGGGAGUACGGUCGCAAGAUUAAAACUCAAAGAAAUUGACGGGGGCCUGCACAAGCGGUGGAGUAUGUGGCUUAAUUCGAUGCAACGCGAAGAACCUUACCUGGCCUUGACAUGUACGUAGUAGAAGGGUGAAAGCCCGACGAGGUAGCAAUACCAGCGUACACAGGUGCUGCAUGGCUGUAGU
rnacentral:rRNA from 1 species